GCACCCUUGGAAGGAAAUAUGGAGCAUUUAUCAGCACACAAAGUAAUCAAGUCCUUUACAUUCUCUUCAAAAAUACCAUUAGAACUAAUAAUUCUAAGUUAUUGAAAAUGUAUUAUGUAAUGGACAGUUUGUAUACAUCAUUUUAUUUACUCUUAUAUGACAUACUUUACAGAUGAGGAAACUGAGACUUAAGCAACUUUGGAACCAGGAUUUAAAACCAAGCAGCAUAGUUCCAGAGCCCACAGUCCAAACCUGUAUACUCUGCUUCCAAAACAAUGAAAGUAGAGUGUUCAUCACUUUUAUUACAGUCAUCCAAAGUGGCUGCUUCUUUCAGGUCAUCAAGCCCUAGAAAUUCUAUUUCUGAAAUAGUGAAACCUCACCGUCCCUUUCAAGCCGUUCCUGACCAACUCAGGCAGAAUCCAGUUCUCCUGUGGCAUUUGGUUCAUGCUGAUAGCACAGCAGGUAUAGUCUAAGCACCAUGAGCCUUGGAAUCCUGCAAACAUGGGUUCAAGUCUAAGCUUGGCCUCGGUUGGUGGUGUGGCC